rnacentral:rRNA from 1 species
UACAUGAAGCUGGAAUCGCUAGUAAUCGCGAAUCAGAAUGUCGCGGUGAAUACGUUCCCGGGUCUUGUACACACCGCCCGUCACACCAUGGGAGUCGGAAAUGCCCGAAGUCAGUGACCCAACCGUAAGGAGGGAGCUGCCGAAGGUGGAGCCGGUAACUGGGGUGAAGUCGUAACAAGGUAAC